AUCCCACCAACCCUAGCUCCUCAAACACGGAUGCACAGCCGUCGUCCCUCUUCUUCUUCCCCUCCCCUCGCCCCCUUGCUGUUGCACACUCCUCCGGGGCCUUCCACAGCGCUCCAAAGCCGGACACCGCGGUCACUUAAAGUGCGCGCGGUUCCUCCUCGGCGGCGGUCACGCGUUGAUUUGGUCCAGGAAUGAGCCGGAGAGUACCGAGCGUUGGCGCUAGGGGUUCUCUGUGUCAAAGGCGAAGGUUGGCGGGGAAGUUCCGUCCUUUGCUCUCGCCCCUUGCGUCAGAGUCAGUCCUUUCUGGACGCCCGAUUCUGCAAAUCCCCGCAGUAUUAAAGGAGCAGCGGUCUGGCAGGUAGUGUUCCAUCAACCCGUGUGAGAAGCCAGCUUGGAAAAAAAUGGAAGCCCGUGAGAGGAGAACGAAUCUGGAGGCGGAGAGAGGAAGGAAAUUGAAUAGAAAGGGAAGAGAAGGUUUAAGCAUAACGCCUCCAGGGUAUUCUCGAGGGCCCAGUGAGAACGGCCUCUUCUUGCUCCAGGCCAGACAUGACAUCGCAGGGAUCAGUGAAUCAUGGUGGAAAAGGAAUUCGACAGGCUUGAAAACAUCACUAUUUUUCUGGCUUAUUUGAUUUUGAGCAGAAAAACGAACUAAAACAAAAAUGUUUGAUUUUCUAUUUCUCAUACUCUGUGUAUUUGAAUUCAUAAAGCUAUAUUAAAUUAACUAUAAAAGGAAACAAAAUUUUGGCUUUAUGAGACUUAUAAUUUAAGCCAUGGUUGCCCUCUUAUAUCUAUUCAUUUAUUAAAGUCCAGCUUGCUGAAAACAAAGAUUUGCUUUUGAUUUAUAUUUUCAAUUUACUUCCUUGCCAAUGAUUUCUAACUCUCCGUUUGCACCACUGCCCCCCACCACUGUCUAAAUAAACUCUUCAACUCAAACUAUAUUAAAUUGUCAGAAUAGUAGCAGAUUACCAUAGGUAUACUUCCGAACAGUGUACCUCAUGUGUCGAAUAGAGAGGAUCUCUUAUAUCCAUAAAGCUCAAUUGAAUAUUGAUGCUCAGCAGAUGGACCUCUAAAAACAUUUUGUAG
rnacentral:lncRNA from 1 species